UACGUAGGGGGGCAAGCGUUGUCCGGAAUCAUUGGGCGUAAAGAGCGUGUAGGCGGUCCGGUAAGUCGGCUGUGAAAGUCCAGGGCUCAACCCUGGGAUGCCGGUCGAUACUGCCGGACUAGAGUUCGGAAGAGGCGAGUGGAAUUCCCGGUGUAGCGGUGAAAUGCGCAGAUAUCGGGAAGAACACCCGUGGCUAAGGCGGCUCUCUAGUACGGUACUGACGCUGAGACGCGAAAAGCGUGGGGGAGCGAACAGG
rnacentral:rRNA from 1 species